CAGAUACCAAGGACACUGAAUGAAAGUGAAUUCCCACCGAAAGCAACCAUUUGUCCUUGUGCAACACAACAGGUGCACUGCCUGUGGGGGCAGGGCUCCUCAGAAGAAGGAUAGACUCCUCUUACAAUGACUUUUUUUCUCCUAAAACCAUAUGGAUAGACAAGUUCUAGAUAUUUCCAUCUAUUACGUUGGAUUUGGUAAUCAAGAAGCCAUACUUCUUUGACAGUGGAAUUCUGAUUCUUUUUGGCAGGGAGUGAACUCCUCCUGUUCCCAGUCCGUGGCCUUUGAGUGAGCUCCCAUCCCUGGCUCCUAGGACGGGACAGCUAACACAGAGCUCCGAGUCAAGCAGACACAGUGGGUGCCAUCCUGACACCUCAAGGGAACAGCACAUCUGGGAAAAGUGUCUAAUAGAGAAGAGGAGUCAAGAGAAGAAGGGGGAGAAUCACAGCCCUGAGGACACCAUCUAUGUUCUGGAAUUCUACCAUGCUUAAAGGAAACCACACAUUCAAAAUAAUGCUAACCUGUCAAGUUAUUGAUCUGCACUGUACAUAUUUCCUGGUCAUAGGCAGCUUCCACACAAGAACAUCUGGAUGCAAAUUAAAGAAUUCAAUUACUCAAGCCUAAGUGAUAGAGGAGACCUCGGCUACUCUGCCUGAGCACAUCACUGCUGGAUCUCAAAAUCUGCAAGAACUUCCUAGGGCUUCAGGAACUUUCAUGUGCAUACCAGUCACCUGGGAAUCUUGUUACGAUGCAUAUUCUUUUUCAGUAAGCCCAAAUUCUGCAAUUCUUAUAAGGUCUUAGGGGACAUGAUGUUUGCUUCUAGUGGUCCAUGGUCUACUCCUGAAGGUCCACCAUGCCCAGCUUCAUCUCCCCACCCUCUGGAAACUCUCCUGUACCCAAGCCACUUGCUCUCUUCUAAAUAGGCAUUGUGUUCCCAUGUUCCCAUGUGUCUGCCUCUUUCAACUUCUCCUCUAAAAAUUCUCCAUGACCCCCAAGCAUAAGCCUCCAGCAGCAAGCUCAAAAAUGCUUUCUACUCUGUUGUGUUGCCCGGCCCACUUCAAGAGUAGAUGCUCAAUUCCUUCUUCCCCUAGUCGUAUUUGCUGCUACUUUUGCAGGCUGCUGGAACACUUUCACUCUGAGGAUUCUGAUGAACACAGUUCUUGCCCUCUUCACUUUUCCAAUCUGGUUGCAGGCACAGCGGGGGACAGCAGGAGUGCAACACAGUAACUUAAUAUAAUAUGGAGCUGCUAUUAUGGAGGGAAACAUUCACUGCUCUGAAAGGACUCAACAGCUGAGUCUUAAAGAAGGAUUUUACAAGAUUGACAAAGAAAUGGGUUAUCUCCAGAUAGGAAGGAAAAAUCACAAGGAAUAGUACAGCAAGGAAAGAGGAAACAGCACUGGACUUGGGGAAAAGGGAAAUCCUUGAGAUGUUGCUAAGGCAUAAAGAGCAAGACAGAGAGUGUCAGAAGAUGACACUGACGUCACCUGACUCCUGCUGCUGAGCUUCUCUGACAUUUUCUCAAGGGCUCAAGGCUUGGAUACCCUCUGAUAUGGUUUAUCUGUGUCCCCGCCCAAAUCUCACCUUGGUUUGUAAUCAUCUCCAUGUGUCAAGAAUGGGACCAGGUGGAGAUAAUUGAAUCAUGGGGGCAGUUUCCCACAUACUGUUCACAUGGUAGUAAAUAAGUCUCAUGAGCUCUGAUGGUUUUAUAAAUGGGAGUUCCCCUGCACAGGCUCUUUUUGCCUGCCACCAUGGAAGACACCCCUUUGCCCUUCCUUUAUUUUCUGCCACAAUUGUGAGGCCUCCCUAGCUAUGUGGAAUUGUGAGUGCAUUAAACCUCUUUCCUUUACAAAAUUACCCAGUCUUGGGCAUGUCUUUAUUAGCAGCAUGAGGACAGACUAAUACACCCUCUUUCAAUACCUAAAAUAGACAAAGCCCUAUUUGGAAUUUUGGAAAAACACAAUCUAGUCUCCGAAGGUAGGCACAGAAGCUCUGAGCUGACACAAUAUUGAAGUCGUUACUUGCCUGGUCCUUAGGCAUUUCCUAGUCCACAAUCACACAUCCA
rnacentral:lncRNA from 10 species